CCUACGGGUGGCAGCAGUGAGGAAUAUUGGUCAAUGGGCGAGAGCCUGAACCAGCCAAGUCGCGUGAGGGAAUACUGCCCUAUGUGUUGUAAACCUCUUUUGUCGGGGAGCAAAAGCCGGACGUUUCCGGCUGUGAGAGUACCCGAAGAAAAAGCAUCGGCAAACUCCGUGCCAGCAGCCGCGGUACUACGGAGGAGGCGAGCGUUAUCCGGAUUUAUGGGGUUAAAAGGGGGCGCAGGCGGAUUUUUAAGUCAGCGGUAAAGUCGGGGGGCUCAACCCCAUCCAGCCGUUGAAACUGGGGAUCUAGAGUGUGCGAGAGGUAUGCGGAAUGCGUGGUGUAGCGGUGAAAUGCAUAGAUAUCACGCAGAACCCCGAUUGCGAAGGCAGCAUACCGGUGGACAACUGACGCUCAGGCACGAAAGCGUGGGUAUCGAACAGGAUUAGAUACCCCGGUAGUC
rnacentral:rRNA from 1 species